rnacentral:lncRNA from 1 species
CACAUUAUAACUAGACCAUAUGUAGCUUGAAUGCUUUAAUUAUUUGUAAUUAUAACAUAUGUAUAUAUAUAUAUAAGGGUAGUUUUGAUUUUCCAUGGUAAAAAAAGGGGGAGGGGGUCAAAAUACCAUCGCAAAGUAAAAUUUAAAAAAGAUCUUUUCCAGCAAGUUAAAUACAUACAAACUACUUAUUUGUGUAUUCUAACUACAUAAAAGAGUUCGAAUUGCCAGAAUUUCUGAAAUUAAAGGCCUAGAGUAGGGGGUUCAAUAUACCGCAGGAGGGUCAAAAUACCAUGGCAAAGUAAAAUUUUCAAAAUAUCUUUUCCAUCAAAGUUAAUACAUACAAACUACUUUGUGUGUGUAUAUUAACUACAUAUAAGAGCUAAAAUUGCCAGAUUUUUUUGAAUUGUCUAUAGUAAGGGGUUCAAUAUACCGCAGGGGGGUCAAAAUACCAUGGCAAAGUAAAAUUUUCAAAAUAUCUUUUCCAUCAAAGUUAAUACAUACAAACUACUUGUGUGUGUGUAUAUUAACUACAAAUAAGAGCUAAAAUUGCCAGAUUUUUUUUAAUUGUCUAUAGUAAGGGGUUCAAUAUACCGCAGGGGGGUCAAAAUACCAUGGCAAAGUAAAAUUUUCAAAAUAUCUUUUCCAGCAAUUUUAAUACAUAGAAACUACUUAUUUGUGUAUUCUAACUACAUAAAAGAGUUUGAAUUGCCAGAAUUUCUGAAAUUAAAGGCCUUGAGUAGGGGGUUCAAUAUACCGCAGAGGGGUCAAAAUACCAUGGCAAAGUAAAAUUUUCAAAAUAACUUUUCCAGCAAGUUUAAUACAUACAGAUUGCUUAUUUGUGUAUUCUAACUACAUUAAAAAGUUUGAAAUGCCAGAACUUUAUAAAUUAAAGGUCUAGAGUGAGGGGUUCAAUAUACCGCAGGGGAGUCAAAAUACCAUGGCAAAGUAAAAUUUUCAAAAUAUCUUUUCCAUCAAAGUUAAUACAUACAAACUACUUGUGUGUGUAUAUUAACUACAAAUAAGAGCUAAAAUUGCCAGAUUUUUUUUGAAUUGUCUAUAGUAAGGGGUUCAAUAUACCGCAGGGGGGUCAAAAUACCAUGGCAAAGUAAAAUUUUCAAAAUAUCUUUUCCAUCAAAGUUAAUACAUACAAACUACUUGUGUGUGUAUAUUUACUACAAAUAAGAGCUGAAAUUGCCAGAUUUUUUUGAAUUGUCUAUAGUAAGGGGUUCAAUAUACCGCAGGGGGGUCAAAAUACCAUGGCAAAGUAAAAUUUUCAAAAUAUCUUUUCUAGCAAGUUAAAUACAUACAAACUACUUAUUUGUGUAUUCUAACUACAUAAAAGAGUUUGAAUUGCCAGAAUUUCUGAAAUUAAAGGCCUUGAGUAGGGGGUUCAAUAUACCGC